rnacentral:lncRNA from 1 species
UCAUGUAGGUAGUGAGCACAAAAGGAAGCAAAAAGAUGCAUAUCAAGAUCCAUUUACAGCCAUCUCUGGUGAUGCCUUCGGUAUCAAUGGGCCAUCAUCUCCAUGUUGUCCGUUAUCCGGAGAACCACACAAGCCAUCUGUAAAGCACCUAGGAGAAACUUCUUCUUGGUCAGCAAGAUUGUCCACAUCUGAGCUCUUCCCCU